GUGUGCCAUCUGUGAUGUGUGCCAUGUGUGUGCCAUGCCGUGCCAUGCCGUGCCACGCCGUGCCACGCUGUCCCACAUCCCCACCCAGCGCCGGGCCCCAUCUCGCCGUGAGUCACGCCGGGAUAAGUGUGAGUCACCUCAGGACUAAAAUACAAAUAACCCCUGCCCCCCUCGGAGAGCCCCGCUCCUCGCUCCGUGCUCGGGGCUGCUGCCUGUGCCCCAAACCCCGGGGGUGCCGCAGUCCCGGACCGCGUUCCUGUCCCCGAGGGGCCGGGAGCUGCACCCUCCUCCGGCCCCAGAGCUGAUGUUUGCAGCGCGCCGCUUGCUCGCCGCAGGAAUGCGGAUGGUGUGACACGGAAAUCAAGCGCUGGAUCGAGUUCACCGGGGGUGUACGCAGGGAGAACCUGACUGAAACCCUUCCGCACCCACAGAGAGCACGGCAACAUUGCGCUGGGACAAAAGUCUCAAACAAAAGUGAAAAAAAAAGCUGAAUUUGAGAUGUAUCCUGUAUUUUCUAACCAGAAUGAAGCAGCAUGAUUACAGCAACAUAAACCAGAUUUAACUCUGGUUUCUUUGCAGGUGCUUCUGUCACAGCAUCCAGCGAGCCCGGCGACAGAUCGCACUGCAGGGAGCUGCUGGGUGCUGCCCUUCUCCUCUUCCUCAUCUUCCUUCCUCCUUCUCCUUUUCCCUCUCUUCAUCCUCCUCUUCCUCCCCUGCACACCCACCUCUCCAUCCCCUCUGUCCCAUCUCUGGCUCUGUGGGGCGGUGGCCCCUGGCCGGUGCUGUGACAGCAGCUGGGCACAUCUUUGGCACCCGAGGCUCUCUGUGCUGGGACAGGGCAGGAGCUCCCGGCCCUUAAAAGCAGAUUAUUCUGUAAGGAAGGGAAGAGAAAGGAACGGGAGCCCCAAAAUGAUGCAAAGCUGAGGGCAGCAACCCCACACCCCCCCAGGCUCCUUCCCCGCUGUGGAAUUCCCAAACAAAACCAACUUUUGCAGAAGGAUUUCAAUGAAACCCCGCGUAGUUAACUACUCUAAACUCCCUAUUUUUUUCCUUAAAAACUUUUAAUUGCUGCCCCACAGCCCGCACUGGCCGGCCGGGGCGGUUCUUUGCUGCUCGCCCCAGGAUGGAGCAGAGCUGCGGAGCGUGCAGGGGGAGCAGCUCCUCUGCUGCUUUGAAAACUGCCCAGAAAUCGCUGCAGCCUCUUUUCACAGUGUUUUUCUUUCUUUGAAAACAGGAGUGGGAGGAGGGGUUGGAUGUUGGCGUGUAGCCUUGGAGACCGAAGGCGAGGAAUAUUGAAUGGAAAGCCAAACACGGACUCCAGGCCUGGCGUGGAGCUCGGCUCGGGCUGGCCCGGAGCUCCCAGCGCUGCCCCCUCAGCCGGAUCAAUCGGACACAGCCCUGACGAGAGAUGCGGCUCCCAAAAGUUCCUCAUUCCCCUUCUCUUCCCUCUUCUCUUCCCGAUCAUCUCUUCACUGAAGCCCCCGGCUGACCAACACCACCACGUGCAAGCUGAGCUCUCUCUGUGGCUCUGUUGAAGAGCCUGGAAGUGCUCUCCCAGCUGGGCAGGUUUGGGGGAAGUACCCAGAGAUGUUCUGGGCAUUUCUGCAGCUCCUGAGCACGGCUCCAAAAGGAUCUUCCUUCCCCAGAAAGAAGGAAAGAAAAAAUCAAGGAAGAAAAGAGCAGCACAACUCAGCUGUUUCUAUAACAAAUCCUCAUCAUCACAUCUCCAAACUGCUCAGUUCCCUUUCUGACAGCGAAAAUAACACCAAACCUUGCUUAAGUUAGUGAGCUUUAUUUAGGAAAUAAAUAAAAUCAUAAGAAAAUGA